GAACGGCGGCACGGACUUCGGUCUGGUGAGUGGCGAACGGGUGGUAUAUCGGAACGUGCCUAGUAGCGGGGGAUAACUACGCGAAAGCGUAGCUAAUACCGCAUGCACACGCCCACUUCGAAGCCAGGGGACGCCUUCAGACCUCGCACUAUUAGAGCCGGCCGAUAUCGGAUUAGCUAGUUGGUGGGGUAACUUGGCUGCCAAGGAGCGACGAUCCGUAACUGGUUUGAGAGGACGACCAGCCACACUAAGGACUGAGACACGGCCCGAACUCCUACGGGAGGCAGCAGUGGGGAAUUUUUUGCGGACAAUGGGGAAACCCUGAUCCAGCAGCCAUCCGCGUGUGCGAUGAAGGCCUUCAGGUUUGUAAACACUUUUGGCAGGAAAGAAGCAGCACGGGAUAAUACCCGUGCAGCGAACCUGCAGAAUAAGCACCGGCUAACUGCGACUUUACGGCAAUGCGGUAAUACGUAAGGGUGCAAAAUGAUUAAUCCGGAAUUACUGGAGUAAAGCGUGCGCAGGCGGUUCGGAAAGAAAGAUGUGAUCCCAGAGCUUAACUUUGGAACUGCAUUUUCCCCAACUACCGAGCUGAAAGUGUGUCAGAGGAGGUGGAAUUCCGCAAUCAACAACGGUAAAUGCGUAGAUAUUUCCCGGAGGAACACCGAUGUGAAGGCAGCCUCCUGGAAUAACAUGACGCUCAUGCACGAAAGCGUGGGGCAAAACAGGAUUAGAUACCUGGUGGUCCACGCCCUAAACGAUGUCAACUAGCACUGUUGGGGCCUUCGGGCCUUGGUAGCGCAGCUAACGCGUGAAGUUGACCGCCUGGGAUACGGUCGCAAGAUUAAAACUCGAAAAGGAAUUGACGGGGACCCGCACAAGCGGUGGAUGAUGUGGAUUAAUUCGAUGCAACGCAAAAACUGCCUACCUACCCUUGACAUGUCUGGAAUCCCGAAGAGAUUUGGGAGUGCUCGCAAGAGAACGGAACACAGGUGCUGCAUGGCUGUCGUCAGCUCGUGUCGUGAGAUGUUGGGUUAAGUCCCGCAACGAGCGCAACCCUUGUCAUUAGUUGCUACGAAGAACUGCUCUAAUGAGACUGCCGGUGACAAACCGGAGGAAGGUGGGGAUGACGUCAGAUCCUCAUGGCCCUUAUGCGUUGGGGGCUUCACACGUCAUACAAUGGUCAGGACAGAGGGUCGCCAACCCGCGAGGCCAAUCGAAGCGAUCGUAGUCCGGAUCGCAGUCUGCAACUCGACUGCGUGAAGUCGGAAUCGCUAGUAAUCGCGGAUCAGCAUGUCGCGGUGAAUACGUUCCCAGGUCUUGUACACACCGCCCGUCACACCAUGGAGUGGGUUUUACCAGAAGUAGUUAGCCUAACCGUAAGGAGGGCGAUUACGGUAGGAUUCAUGACUGGGGUGAAGUCGUAACAAGAGUAG
rnacentral:rRNA from 1 species